AAUCAACGCUGGCGGCGUGCCUAACACAUGCAAGUCGAACGCGAAAGUCCCGCAAGGGAUCAGUAGAGUGGCAAACGGGUGAGUAACGCGUGGGUGACCUACCUCAGAGUGGGGGAUAACCUUCCGAAAGGAGGGCUAAUACCGCAUGACAUACCGUGGUUGGAUACACGGAUAUCAAAGCCGGGGAUCGCAAGACCUGGCGCUUGGAGAGGGGCCCGCGUCCGAUUAGCUAGNGGUGAGGUCACGGCUCACCAAGGCGACGAUCGGUAUCCGGCCUGAGAGGGCGGACGGACACACUGGGACUGAGACACGGCCCAGACUCCUACGGGAGGCAGCAGUGGGGAAUUGUUCGCAAUGGGCGCAAGCCUGACGACGCAACGCCGCGUGGAGGAUGAAGACCUGGUCGUAAC
rnacentral:rRNA from 1 species